rnacentral:misc_RNA from 1 species
UCUCCGUAGGUGAACCUGCGGAGGGAUCAUUACUGAGUGAGGGCUCACGCCCGACCUCCAACCCUUUGUGAACCGAAACCUGUUGCUUCGGGGGCGACCCUGCCUUUCGGCGCGGCGCCCCCGGAGGCUCAUCAAACACUGCAUCUUUGUGUCGGAGUCAUAAGUCAAUCAAACAAAACUUUCAACAACGGAUCUCUUGGUUCUGGCAUCGAUGAAGAACGCAGC